rnacentral:misc_RNA from 1 species
GAAAUGCGAUAAGUAAUGUGAAUUGCAGAAUUCAGUGAAUCAUCGAAUCUUUGAACGCACAUUGCGCCCAUUAGUAUUCUAGUGGGCAUGCCUGUUCGAGCGUCAUUACAACCCUCAAGCCUGGCUGCUUGGUGUUGGGAGCUCACCGUAAAGGUGAUUCCUUAAAGAUAUUGGCGGAGUCUAGCUGAACUCUGAGCGUAGUAAUUCUUUUCUCGCUUCUGAAAUCUGCUGGGCAACGGCCACAAACCAACUAUUAUAUCUAGUGAUUGACCUCGGAUCAGGUAGGAAUACCCGCUGAACUUAA